UACGAAGGGGGCUAGCGUUGUUCGGAAUUACUGGGCGUAAAGGGCGCGUAGGCGGUACUUCAAGUCAGGCGUGAAAGCCCCGGGCUCAACCUGGGAACCGCGCUUGAGACUGGAGAACUAGAGUUCGGGAGAGGAUGGUGGAAUUCCCAGUGUAGAGGUGAAAUUCGUAGAUAUUGGGAAGAACACCGAUGGCGAAGGCAGCCAUCUGGACCGACACUGACGCUGAGGCGCGAAAGCUAGGGGAGCAAACGGG
rnacentral:rRNA from 1 species